rnacentral:lncRNA from 1 species
UGGCGGCGGCUGGAUACUAUUGGUUUUAGAGGCAAAUGGUGGUGGUGGAGGAGGUGGCGGCGGCUGGAUACUAUUGGUUUUAGAGGCAAAUGGUGGUGGUGGAGGAGGUGGCGGCUGGAUACUAUUGGUUUUGGAGGCAAAUGGUGGUGGUGGAGGAGGUGGCGGCCGCUGGAUACUAUUAGUUUUGGAGGCAAAUGGUGGUGGUGGUGGCGGUUGCGGUGGCAUUGGCGGAGUCGAUGACCUAGAAGUAGAAGAAAGAGGUAGAAGUAGUGGUGGUGGAGGUGGUGGUGCCGGCGGUGGAGAAGACGAUGGCGUAGAGGUAGAAGAUAGAGGUAGAAAUGGCGGCGGCGGGGGGGGGGGGGGGUGAAAAGUAGAGGUAGAGAUGGCGGCGGCGGUGGCGGUGGAGUUAAAAAUGAUGAACUCGGAGUGGAACAAGGAGGAGGAGGUGGUGGUGGAGGAGAUGGCCCCUGCUUGCUAGAAGAAUCAAUAGCUGUGGGUUCAGAAGGAAUAGAUGUCACAUUGUUAUCUGUUGACUGUAUACGUGGAGGUGGCAGUUG